GGCGCGUUUUCCGGGAGUGGGGCGUCGGGUUUGGGUUGGAGUGCGGGCUCUUCGCUCAUGUUCGCUCGGAGUUGUCCUCGCCUGGGCUCCUCUCUCUCCUGGGCUUUAAAAGCACCGGGGAGGUGUGCCGAGGAAGCCUCUGGUUCUCCGCGAGAGAAGCGAAGCCGGCGGUCGGGGUGUAGCCGCGUGCCCGGGUCCGCUCGGAGGCUCGCUUUGCCCCUGGAUGCUCCUGGUUACCUCCAGGGCAAGUUCAGCCUGGGUCUGAGGCCUCGUGGCGCUCGUGCUGUUUUUCUGAUAAUUCGAGUGAUUGAACGUCUCAGUGAGGUCUUAAUGGCCGACCCUAGCUUUUAAGCCUCCGCUGUUCAUCCAGAUCACAGUAUGGCUCAGAGAAAGAAAUGUGCUUUUUUCUUAGAUUGUGUACGGAUUUGUUUCUCUUAAAAACAAAAUCUGGUUUCUCAGAAAAUGUGUAAACGCAAAGGAUGACCAAGGAGGGCAUUCAUACUCGAAUUUUCAAACGGAGAAUGUUUUAAUGCAACUAGCAAACAACUGGGUUCCUUUCUUCUCGCUCUCUUUUCCAUUGACUUUACCUUCCUUGCUAUCUGCCGUGUUCUAAAUGCUUGGAAAGCCUCGAGCAACUAAUAAAAUUAGGGAGCUUUGAGAAAAUGCAACAGUUUUGAUUUCUCUUUAAGGGUAUUUAAAUUUAAGUCCAUGAGAUUCUGUGGGGAUAAUGGUCUUAAAAUGAGCACAUUAGUACUGGCUGUUGCCAGGCACUGUUCUGAGGGCUUUACAAAUAAUUACUCAUUUAAUCCUCACAACAGUCCCACUAGGAGAAUAGUAUUAUCCCCCUUUUAAAGACGGCGGGCGAAAUAGCGUUUAUGGUGAAGUAAAUGCAACCGCUGGAAUCCAGACCCUAAUGAGGCAGAGUCUGUUCUUAACCACUGUCUGUACUAAAGGUGAUUUAAAACAGAUUCAUCUUGAGGAUAAAUGAGGCUCUCUAAAACAAGAUGCAAUACUAAUCAAAAGAUAUUGACAGGUUUUGGUAAAUGUCCAAUUCCAAUAAUAUGUUAACAUUUUCAGUGUCAAUCCAGGUUAAAAAGAGGUGGAUCAAAAAAGAUCUUCCGGGACUUCACUGGUGGCGCAGUGGUUGAGAAUCUGCCUGCCAAUGCAGGGGCCACGGGUUUGAGCCCUGGUCUGGGAAGAUCCCACAUGCCACGAAGCAACUGGGCCCGUGAGCCACAAUUACUGAGCCUGCACAUCUGGAGCCUGUGCUCCGCAACAAGAGGCCGCGAUAGUGAGAGGCCCACGCACCGCGAUGAAGAGUGGCCCCCACUUGCCACAACUAGAGAAAGCCCUCACACAGAAACGAAGACCCAACACAACCAUAAAUAAAUAAAUAAAUAAAUAAAUAAAUAAAUAUUAAAAAAAAACAAAACCAAAAACUUA